CCUACGGGAGGCAGCAGUAAGGAAUAUUGGUCAAUGGGGGCAACCCUGAACCAGCCAUGCCGCGUGCAGGAUGAAGGCCCUAUGGGUCGUAAACUGCUUUUAUACCGGAGAAAACCCCCGUACGUGUACGGGGUUGAUAGUAUGGUAAGAAUAAGCAUCGGCUAACUUCGUGCCAGCAGCCGCGGUAAGACGAAGGAUGCAAGCGUUAUCCGGAUUCAUUGGGUUUAAAGGGUGCGUAGGCGGACCUGUAAGUCAGUGGUGAAAUCUCUUUGCUUAACAAGAAACUGCCAUUGAUACUGCAAGUCUAGAGUAUAGAUGACGUUGGCGGAAUAUGACAUGUAGUGGUGAAAUACUUAGAUAUGUCAUAGAACACCGAUUGCGAAGGCAGCUAACGAAACUAUAACUGACGCUGAGGCACGAAAGUGCGGGGAUCAAACAGGAUUAGAUACCCUGGUAGUCCGCACCGUAAACGAUGAUUACUCGUUGUUGGCAAUAUGACCGUCACGCGACCGACGACGAACGACGAGUAAGUAAUACCUACCGUACGGGAGGUACGGCCGGCCGACGGUACGAAACGUUAAACGUAAGUAAGUUAGUACGGACGUAGAGACGUAGACCGACGGACGACGACGAGGGAGGAGG
rnacentral:rRNA from 1 species